GUUUCGAAUCAGGUCGAAUGUAAACAAAACGUGGAAGGUGAAUUGUGAAUUAGUUUUCGUUGGUGAUUCGAUUCGUGAUAAUUUGUGUGGUUUAUGUGAAGUGUUGUGUUUUGAAAUGAAGAGAGAAUGAAGUCAAUGAAGAAGUUUAUCCAAGGCGUUCAUGAUCGAAUAGCAGAUCGACAACAGUCAACAAGAACCGCCUCAACAACAACAAAAGGAAAAAGGAACUGAAGAAGGGACGAAGAUUCUAAUUGAAAAAAAGGAACGAAGAUAUUAUGUAAAAUCCCUUUUAUGCAUAUAUCUUUUAUGGAGAUUUGCGUG